rnacentral:rRNA from 1 species
UACGAAGGGGGCUAGCGUUGCUCGGAAUUACUGGGCGUAAAGCGCACGUAGGCGGACUGUUAAGUCGGGGGUGAAAUCCUGGGGCUCAACCUCAGAAUUGCCUCCGAUACUGGCAGUCUCGAGUGCGGGAGAGGUGAGUGGAAUUCCCAGUGUAGAGGUGAAAUUCGUAGAUAUUGGGAAGAACACCAGUGGCGAAAGGCGGCUCACUGGCCCGUAACUGACGCUGAGGUGCGAAAGCGUGGGGAGCAAACAGG